CGACAACUCAAGAAGGAAGGUAUCCAUCUCUUAGGGGAUCUACAAGGUUGGACUUGAAGGGCACUUACCUAUAGGUUCACAUGGUGCCUCAUGAAGUUUCUGAAGUCUGUCACUGCGCACUGAAAAGCAAAGGGUAUCUGCUGUCACAUACCUAGACGACUUACCUUUUGCAAAUCCAAUUCAUGACUACGUUUACAAACGAGAUUUAUGUUUACAGUUUCGGGAAUUGUUGGGAUUCAUAGUGAACAGAG